rnacentral:lncRNA from 1 species
CUGCAGGAUGGGGGGCUCUUUCAAUCGAUGGUUCCUACGUUGAGGACACAGGACGGGCGGGUAUGGGUAUGGUACUACAGGACUCGGUGGGCAAAGUAAUUUUCUCCGCCUACAGAUAGGUUCUAUUGCAAGGAUGCUCUUGAAGCUGAGGUCAGUGACAUGUUGGAAGGUAUGUCUUUUAGCCUUCAAAGAUCAGAGCUACCAAUCAUCAUUCAAUCUGAUUGCCCUGUUCUGGUGGCAGCUUUAACGGAUGACUCACGGAACAAAUCUGCUCAUGGACAUCUAAUCUUGGGAAUGAGGAGGCUCCUGGAACAGCGUGAGUUUAUUCCACAAAAAUUAGAUCAACAUCAAAAUAGUGUUGCUCAUUGUCUUGCUAAUAUUGGCCGUUCUGGGGGUAGCACUGCCUGUUGGUUGCACCGUGUUCCGGUGUGUCUAGUUUUGCAUUAGCAGACUGUAACACUAUUACAGUGGAAUAAACUAAUUAUUCACCCGCAAAAAAAUGCUCUAAUCUCAUUGAUUCUAGCGCCUUGAAGUUAGCUGCGGGACACAAAUCCUGAUGGAUCCAUAACUGCAUUCAUUCCAUAAAAACUGCUCGUUGCUGUAGCAAAGUUCGCAUAGGCCUGUUGCUGAUGGAGCUAGUAGUCAUCCUUACAUCUACGUGGAUCAACACUAACGGUUGCAUUGAGUUGAUCGGCCUAGGUGUUGACUCACAACUACAUACAACAGAAAUUCUGGAUGGCGUGUCAUUACUCAUUGCUACCUAUUUGUAUCAUCAACCAUAUUGAAAAGAGACAUUCGAUCAAACGACAACCGAUGGGUUGUGUAAGCUGAGCUUUUC